CAUAAACAAUCCUUCGGGUGCGCUUAUGGGCGGCGAGCGGCGGACGGGUGAGUAAUGCCUGGGAAUAUGCCCUGAUGUGGGGGAUAACCAUUGGAAACGAUGGCUAAUACCGCAUAAUCUCUUCGGAGCAAAGAGGGGGACCUUCGGGCCUCUCGCGUCAGGAUUAGCCCAGGUGAGAUUAGCUAGUUGGUGAGGUAAGAGCUCACCAAGGCGACGAUCUCUAGCUGGUCUGAGAGGAUGAUCAGCCACACUGGAACUGAGACACGGUCCAGACUCCUACGGGAGGCAGCAGUGGGGAAUAUUGCACAAUGGGGGAAACCCUGAUGCAGCCAUGCCGCGUGUGUGAAGAAGGCCUUCGGGUUGUAAAGCACUUUCAGUUGUGAGGAAGGCAUAUACGUUAAUAGCGUAUGUGUUUGACGUUAGCAACAGAAGAAGCACCGG
rnacentral:rRNA from 1 species